GACGAACGCUGGCGGCAUGCCUAACACAUGCAAGUCGAACGGGGUAGCAAUACCCAGUGGCGGACGGGUGAGGAAUACAUAGGAAUUUGCCUUUAGGUGGGGGAUAGCCCGGGGAAACUCGGAGUAAUACCGCAUGAUGUCGAAAGACCAAAGUAGGGGAUCGCAAGACCUUGCGCCUUUAGAGAAGCCUAUGUCUGAUUAGCUAGUUGGUAGGGUAAUGGCCUACCAAGGCGACGANCAGUAACUGGUCUGAGAGGACGAUCAGUCACACCGGAACUGAGACACGGUCCGGACUCCUACGGGAGGCAGCAGUGGGAAUAUUGGACAAUGGGCGAAAGCCUGAUCCAGCAAUGCCGCGUGUGUGAAGAAGGCC
rnacentral:rRNA from 1 species